GGGGUUUUAUAGGGUACUUACAGGGUCCUUAUGGGGCUCUUAUGGGGUCAGGAGGGGUUUACAGGAUCCUUAAGGGGCUCUUAUGGGGUCAGGGGACUUUUAUCGCAUCCUUAUGGGGUUCUUAUGGGGUCAGGGGGGUUACAGGGUCCUUAUGGGGUAAGCGGGCUUUUAUAGGGUCCUUUUUGGGUUCUUAUGAGGUCCUUAAGAGGUGAGGGGGUUUUAUAGGGUACUUACAGGGUCCUUAUGGGGCUCUUAUGGGGUCAGGGGACUUUUACCGCAUCCUAAUGGGGUUCUUAUGGGGUCAGGAGGGUUUUAUAGGGUCCUUAUGGGGUAAGCGGGCUCUCAUAGGGUCCUUUUUGGGUUCUUAUGAGGUCCUUAAGAGGUGAGGGGGUUUUAUAGGGUACUUACAGGGUCCUUAUGGGGUUCUUAUGGGGUCAGGGGACUUUUAUCGCAUCCUUAUGGGGUUCUUAUGGGGUCAGGAGGGUUUUAUAGGGUCCUUAUGGGGUAAGCGGGCUCUCAUAGGGUCCUUUUUGGGUUCUUAUGAGGUCCUUAAGGGGUGAGGGGGUUUUAUAGGGUCCUUAUGGGGCUUUUAUGGGGUCAGGGGACUUUUAUCGCAUCCUUAUGGGGUUCUUAUAGGGUCAGGAGGGUUUUAUAGGGUCCUUAUGGGGUAAGCGGGCUCUCAUUGGGUCCUUUUUGGGUUCUUAUGAGGUCCUUAAGAGGUGAGGGGGGUUUAUAGGGUACUUACAGGGUCCUUAUGGGGCUCUUAUGGGGUCAGGGGACUUUUAUCGCAUCCUUAUGGGGUUCUUAUGGGGUCAGGGGGGUUACAGGGUCCUUAUGGGGUAAGCGGGCUUUCAUAGGGUCCUUUUUGGGUUCUUAUGAGGUCCUUAAGAGGUGAGGAGGUUUUAUAGGGUACUUACAGGGUCCUUAUGGGGCUCUUAUGGGGUCAGGGGGAUUACAGGGUCCUUAUGGGGCUCUUAUGGGGUCAGGGGACUUUUAUUGCAUCCUUAUGGGGCUCUUAUGGGGUCAGGAGGGUUUUAUAGGGUCCUUAUGGGGCUCUUAUGGGGUCAGGGGACUUUUAUCACAUCCUUAUGGGGUUCUUAUAGGGUCAGGAGGGUUUUAUAGGGUCCUUAUGGGGUAAGCGGGCUCUCAUAGGGUCCUUUUUGGGUUCUUAUGAGGUCCUUAAGAGGUGAGGGGGUUUUAUAGGGUACUUACAGGGUCCUUCUGGGGCUCUUAUGGGGUCCUAUGGGGACUUUUAUCGCAUCCUUAUGGGUUCUUAUGGGGUCAGGAGGGUUUUAUAGGGUCCUUAUGGGGUAAGCGGGCUCUCAUAGGGUCCUUUUUGGGUUCUUAUGAGGUCCUUAAGAGGUGAGGGGGGUUUAUAGGGUACUUACAGGGUCCUUAUGGGGCUCUUAUGGGGUCAGGGGAUUUUAUCGCAUCCUUAUGGGGUUCUUAUGGGGUCAGGGGGGUUACAGGGUCCUUAUGGGGUAAGCGGGCUUUCAUAGGGUCCUUUCUGGGUUCUUAUGAGGUCCUUAAGAGGUGAGGGGGUUUUAUAGGGUACUUACAGGGUCCUUAUGUGGCUCUUAUGGGGUCAGGGGACUUUUAUCGCAUCCUUAUGGGGUUCUUAUGGGGUCAGGAGGGUUUUAUAGGGUCCUUAUGGGGUAAGCGAGCUCUCAUAGGGACCUUUUUGGGUUCUUAUGAGGUCCUUAAGAGGUGAGGGGGUUUUAUAGGGUACUUACAGGGUCCUUAUGGGGCUCUUAUGGGGUCAGGGGACUUUUAUCGCAUCCUUAUGGGGUUCUUAUGGGGUCAGGGGGGUUAUAGGGUCCUUAUGGGGUAAGCAGGCUCUCAUAGGGUCCUUUUUGGGUUCUUAUGAGGUCCUUAAGGGGUGAGGGGGGUUUAUAGGGUACUUACAGAGUCCUUAUGGGGCUCUUAUGGGGUCAGGAGGGUUUUAUAGGGUCCUUAUAGGGUUCUUAUGGGGUCAGGGGGGUUACAGUGUCCUUAUGGGGUAAGCGGGCUCUCAUAGGGUCCUUUUUGGGUUCUUAUGAGGUCCUUAAGAGGUGAGGGGGUUUUAUAGGGUACUUACAGGGUCCUUAUGGGGCUCUUUUGGGGUCCUAUGGGGACUUUUAUCACAUCCUUAUGGGGUUCUUAUGGGGUCAGGAGGGUUACAGGGUCCUUAUGGGGUAAGCGGGCUCUCAUAGGGUCCUUUUUGGGUUCUUAUGAGGUCCUUAAGAGGUGAGGGGGUUUUAUAGGGUACUUACAGGGUCCUUAUGGGGCUCUUAUGGGGUCAGGAGGGUUUUAUAGGGUCCUUAUGGGGCUCUUAUGGGGUCCUAUGGGGACUUUUAUCACAUCCUUAUGGGGUUCUUAUGGGGUCACGGGGGGUUUAUAGGGUCCUUAUGGGGUAAACGGGCUUUCAUAGGGCCCUUUUUGGGUUCUUAUGAGGUCCUUAAGAGGUGAGGCGGUUUUAUAGGGUACUUACAGGGUCCUUAUGGGGCUCUUAUGGGGUCAGGGGACUUUUAUCGCAUCCUUAUGGGGUUCUUAUGGGGUCAGGAGGGGUUUAUAGGGUCCUUAUGGGGUAAGCGGGCUCUCAUAGGGUCCUUUUUGGGUUCUUAUGAGGUCCUUAAGAGGUGAGGGGGUUUUAUAGGGUACUUACAGCGUCCUUAUGGGGCUCUUAUGGGGUCAGGGGGGUUACAGUGUCCUUAUGGGGUAAGCGGGCUUUCAUAGGGUCCUUUCUGGGUUCUUAUGAGGUCCUUAAGAGGUGAGGGGGUUUUAUAGGGUACUUACAGGGUCCUUAUGGGGCUCUUAUGGGGUCCUAUGGGGACUUUUAUCGCAUCCUUAUGGGGUUCUUAUGGGGUCAGGAGGGUUACAGGGUCCUUAUGGGGUAAGCGGGCUUUCAUAGGGUCCUUUCUGGGUUCUUAUGAGGUCCUUAAGAGGUGAGGGGGUUUUAUAGGGUACUUACAGGGUCCUUAUAGGGCUCUUAUGGGGUCAGGGGACUUUUACCGCAUCCUUAUGGGGUUCUUAUGGGGUCAGGAGGGUUUUAUAGGGUCCUUAUGGGGUAAGCGGGCUUUCAUAGGGUCCUUUUUGGGUUCUUAUGAGGUCCUUAAGAGGUGAGGGGGUUUUAUAGGGUACUUACAGGGUCCUUAUGGGGCUCUUAUGGGGUCAGGGGACUUUUAUCCCAUCCUUAUGGGGUUCUUAUGGGGUCAGGAGGGGUUUAUAGGGUCCCUAUGGGGCUCUUAUGGGGUCAGGGGACAUUUAUCGCAUCCUUAUGGGGCUCUUAUGGGGUCAGGGGACUUUUAUCGCAUCCUUAUGGGGUUCUUAUGGGGUCAGGAGGGUUUUAUAGGGUCCUUAUGGGGUAAGCGAGCUUUCAUAGGGUCCUUUUUGGGUUCUUAUGAGGUCCUUAAGGGGUGAGGGGGGUUUAUAGGGUACUUACAGGGUCCUUAUGGGGCUCUUAUGGGGUCAGGAGGGUUUUAUAGGGUCCUUAUAGGUUUCUUAUGGGGUCAGGGGGGUUACAGUGUCCUUAUGGGGUAAGCGGGCUUUCAUAGGGUCCUUUUUGGGUUCUUAUGGGGUCCUUAAGAGGUGAGGGGGUUUUAUAGGGUACUUACAGGGUCCUUAUGGGGCUCUUAUGGGGUCAGGGGACUUUUAUCGCAUCCUUAUGGGGUUCUUAUGGGGUCAGAAGGGUUUUAUACGGUCUUUAUGGGGUAAGCGGGCUUUCAUAGGGUCCUUUUUGGGUUCUUAUGAGGUCCUUAAGAGGUGAGGGGGGUUUAUAGGGUACUUGCAGGGUCCUUAUGGGGCUCUUAUGGGGUCAGGAGGGUUUUAUAGGGUCCUUAUAGGGUUCUUAUGGGGUCAGGGGGGUUACAGUGUCCUUAUGGGGUAAGCGGGCUUUCAUAGGGUCCUUUUUGGGUUCUUAUGAGGUCCUUAAGAGGUGAGGGGGUUUUAUAGGGUACUUACAGGGUCCUUAUGGGGCUCUUAUGGGGUCCUAUGGGGACUUUUAUCGCAUCCUUAUGGGGUUCUUAUGGGGUCAGGAGGGUUACAGGGUCCUUAUGGGUUAAGCGGGCUUUCAUAGGGUCCUUUUUGGGUUCUUAUGAGGUCCUUAAGAGGUGAGGGGGUUUUAUAGGGUACUUACAGGCUCCUUAUGGGGCUCUUAUGGGGUCAGGGGACUUUUAUCGCAUCCUUAUGGGGUUCUUAUGGGGUCAGGGGGGUUUUAUUGGGUCCUUAUGGGGUAAGCGGGCUUUCAUAGGGUCCUUUUUGGGUUCUUAUGAGGUCCUUAAGGGGUGAGGGGGUUUUAUAGGGUACUUACAGGGUCCUUAUGGGGCUCUUAUGGGGUCAGGGGACUUUUAUCGCAUCCUUAAGGGGUUCUUAUGGGGUCAGGAGGGUUUUAUAGGGUCCUUAUGGGGUAAGCGGGCUUUCAUAGGGUCCUUUUUGGGUUCUUAUGAGGUCCUUAAGGGGUGAGGGGGGUUUAUAGGGUACUUACAGGGUCCUUAUGGGGCUCUUAUGGGGUCAGAGGGGUUAUAGGGUCCUUAUAGGGUUCUUAUGGGGUCAGGGGGGUUACAGGGUCCUUAUGGGGUAAGCGGGCUUUCAUAGGGUCCUUUUUGGGUUCUUAUGAGGUCCUUAAGGGGUGAGGGGGUUUUAUAGGGUACUUUUUGGGUCCUUAUGGGGCUCUUAUGGGGUCAGGGGACUUUAACGCAUCCUUAUGGGGUUCUUAUGGGGCUCUUAUGGGGUCCUAUGGGGACUUUUAUCGCAUCCUUAUGGGGUUCUUAUGGGGUCAGGGGGGUUACAGGGUCCUUAUGGGGUAAGCGGGCUUUCAUAGGGUCCUUUUUGGGUUCUUAUGAGGUCCUUAAGAGGUGAGGGGGUUUUAUAGGGUACUUACAGGGUCCUUAUGGGGCUCUUAUGGGGUCAGGAGGGUUUUAUAGGGUCCUUAUGGGGCUCUUAUGGGGUCCUAUGGGGACUUUUAUCACAUCCUUAUGGGGUUCUUAUGGGGUCAGGAGGGUUACAGGGUCCUUAUGGGGUAAGCGGGCUCUCAUAGGGUCCUUUUUGGGUUCUUAUGAGGUCCUUAAGAGGUGAGGGGGUUUUAUAGGGCACUUACAGGGUCCUUAUGGGGCUCUUAUGGGGUCAGGGGACUUUUAUCGCAUCCUUAUGGGGUUCUUAUGGGGUCAGGAGGGUUUUAUAGGGUCCUUAUGGGGUAAGCGGGCUCUCAUAGGGUCCUUUUUGGGUUCUUAUGAGGUCCUUAAGAGGUGAGGGGUUUUUAUAGGGUACUUACAGGGUCCUUAUGGGGCUCUUAUGGGGUCAGGAGGGUUUUAUAGGGUCCUUAUGGGGCUCUUAUGGGGUCCUAUGGGGACUUUUAUCACAUCCUUAUGGGGUUCUUAUGGGGUCACGGGGGGUUUAUAGGGUCCUUAUGGGGUAAACGGGCUUUCAUAGGGCCCUUUUUGGGUUCUUAUGAGGUCCUUAAGGGGUGAGGGGGUUUUAUAGGGUACUUACAGGGUCCUUAUGGGGCUCUUAUGGGGUCAGGGGACUUUUAUCGCAUCCUUAUGGGGUUCUUAUGGGGUCAGGAGGGGUUUAUAGGGUCCUUAUGGGGUAAGCGGGCUCUCAUAGGGUCCUUUUUGGGUUCUUAUGAGGUCCUUAAGGGGUGAGGGGGUUUUAUAGGGUACUUACAGGGUCCUUAUGUGGCUCUUAUGGGGUCAGGGGACUUUUAUCGCAUCCUUAUGGGGUUCUUAUGGGGUCAGGAGGGGUUUAUAGGGUCCUUAUGGGGUAAGUGGGCUUUCAUAGGGUCCUUUUUGGGUUCUUAUGAGGUCCUUAAGAGGUGAGGGGGUUUUAUAGGGCACUUACAGGGUCCUUAUGGGGCUCUUAUGGGGUCAGGAGGGGUUUAUAGGGUCCUUAUGGGGUAAGCGAGCUUUCAUAGGGUCCUUUUUGGGUUUUUAUGAGGUCCUUAAGAGGUGAGGGGGUUUUAUAGGGUACUUACAGGGUCCUUAUGGGGCUCUUAUGGGGUCAGGGGACUUUUAUCGCAUCCUUAUGGGGUUCUUAUGGGGUCAGGGGGGUUACAGUGUCCUUAUGGGGUAAGCGGGCUUUCAUAGGGUCCUUUUUGGGUUCUUAUGAGGUCCUUAAGAGGUGAGGGGGUUUUAUAGGGUACUUACAGGGUCCUUAUGGGGCUCUUAUGGGGUCCUAUGGGGACUUUUAU